rnacentral:rRNA from 1 species
GGACCGUAGGGAAGGGGGCCUUACCAUGCAAGUCGAGGGGCAGCAAUGAUCUUAGCUUGCUAAGGUCGAUGGCGACCGGCGCACGGGUGCGUAACGCGUAUGCAACUUGCCUUACAGAGGGGGAUAACCCGUUGAAAGACGGACUAAAACCGCAUACACUUGUAUUAUUGCAUGAUAUUACAAGGAAAUAUUUAUAGCUGUAAGAUAGGCAUGCGUCCCAUUAGCUAGUUGGUGAGGUAACGGCUCACCAAGGCGACGAUGGGUAGGGGAACUGAGAGGUUUAUCCCCCACACUGGUACUGAGACACGGACCAGACUCCUACGGGAGGCAGCAGUGAGGAAUAUUGGUCAAUGGGCGAGAGCCUGAACCAGCCAAGUCGCGUGAAGGAAGACAGUCCUAAGGAUUGUAAACUUCUUUUAUACGGGAAUAACGGGCGAUACGAGUAUUGCAUUGAAUGUACCGUAAGAAUAAGCAUCGGCUAACUCCGUGCCAGCAGCCGCGGUAAUAUGGAGGAUGCGAGCGUUAUCCGGAUUUAUUGGGUUUAAAGGGUGCGUAGGUUGUUCGGUAAGUCAGCGGUGAAACCUGAGCGCUCAACGUUCAGCCUGCCGUUGAAACUGCCGGGCUUGAGUUCAGUGGCGGCAGGCGGAAUUCGUGGUGUAGCGGUGAAAUGCAUAGAUAUCACGAGGAACUCCGAUUGCGAAGGCAGCUUGCCAUACUGCGACUGACACUGAAGCACGAAGGCGUGGGUAUCAAACAGGAUUAGAUACCCUGGUAGUCCACGCAGUAAACGAUGAUUACUAGGAGUUUGCGAUAUACCGUCAAGCUUCCACAGCGAAAGCGUUAAGUAAUCCACCUGGGGGAGUACGCCGGCAACGGUGAAACUCAAAGGAAUUGACGGGGGCCCGCACAAGCGGAGGAACAUGUGGUUUAAUUCGAUGAUACGCGAGGAACCUUACCCGGGAUUGAAAUGUAGAUGACGGAUGGUGAAAACCGUCUUCCCUUCGGGGCUU